ACGCUCGACACCUACUGGAGGCAGCAGUGGGGAAUAUUGCACAAUGGGGGAAACCCUGAUGCAGCGAUGCCGCGUGAAGGAAGAAGUAUCUCGGUAUGUAAACUUCUAUCAGCAGGGAAGAAAAUGACGGUACCUGACUAAGAAGCCCCGGCUAACUACGUGCCAGUAGCCGCGGUAAUCUGAGCGGGCUGGCAAGGC
rnacentral:rRNA from 1 species